UACGUAGGGUGCAAGCGUUAAUCGGAAUUACUGGGCGUAAAGGGCGCGUAGGCGGCUGAUCAAGUCAGGUGUGAAAGCCCACGGCUUAACCGUGUGAAGUGCAUCUGAAACUGGUCGGCUUGAGUAUCGGAGAGGAAAGUGGAAUUCCCGGUGUAGAGGUGAAAUUCGUAGAUAUCAGGAGGAACACCGGUGGCGAAGGCGACUUCCUGGCCAGAUGCUGACGCUGAGACGCGAGAGCGUGGGGAGCAAACAGGAUUAGAAACCCGAGUAGU
rnacentral:rRNA from 1 species